GCACCUCGCACAUCAUUGAUAAUCAGGAAGUGACACAAGGAACAAAGGAUCCAUUGUCCCAGGGGAAAGAAAGCAAAAGCAGAAGUGCAAGGACUUAGUGCUAUAAAAAGACAAGCGAAUUCAGAGAAAAGAGAGAGCAGGAGAGCACGGAGAGCAGGAGAACAGGCCAGCACGGAGACAGCGAGCCGAGAGGGGACACAUGUUCAUGAAGGGGAUCAGGAACUCUGCAAAAUUCCACACUGUGCUCACAAGAUCAUGAAAAUAUGUCCUCAAAUUAUUACGAAAGUAUCUUUGACUUGACUGACCUUUCCUUGAGGACUGCUGAUCUGAAGAUUUGAGAUACAGUGAAUCUCUUCUGUCAAUCAAAUGGAAUCAUUUUAUUAAAGAGAAAGCAGACUGGAAAUGAUGUGAUUGCAGUCUCAAGAUGCUACGUUAUACUCUCACACUUUCCUUUUUAGCCUUCAGAACCAUGGAGACCACGUGGCUAUGGCUGCCUUGAACCCCUUUCACCCCACACGCCCUGUUUGUUGUUGCUGGCAGAGCCUCUCAGAGAGCCUCAGACUGUCCUCCUACCUGCCUCGACCUCCACCUGGCCAGCCCUGGGGUCAACACUCAAGGCACAGACUGUCCUUUUGAGAGCUGGGGACAACGGACAAAACAACUCCUGGAGAAGCUGAGAAACCCACAUCCCGAGGAUGCCUUUCCUUUGACUCAGAGAGCUCAGAAUACUUUUUUGCCCAACAGUCUACUGGCAAAUCAUCCUAAGCAAGUGGCCAGGGGUGCAGGGAGAGGAAAACAGGCAGGCAGCAUCAGCAGAUGAUCAAUGAAGUCAGGUUGAAGGGCCAAAGGUCUCCACAAAUGGGGCUUCAGAGGUUCAGAGAAAAUCAGAGUCUACACUCAGUCUCUCCUAGUGCUCUAGACAAUGAAGGACCAUAGGAUGACCCGUGCAUCCUAUGCAUUCCAAAAUGCUUUCUGUAAUGCUACUUUUUAAACCAAACAGCAGCUUUUCCAAGAUUAGAGCACUCCAAAAUGUCUGAUUACCCCACCACUAAAUCCCUCUCUGUCACUCUUGUAGGUUAAACCGCAGAGUGCAGUACAGAACCGUGGAUACAUCUUCACAGUCCACUGUCACACUGGUUUGUGCAAGCCCUAUAUGGAAGAGAUGUGUGUACUUGGGGUUCACCUGCUUUGUAUUCUCUUAGAAAGCCAAGUGAGAUGCCCAAGCAACAAGGCAGAGGCAGCCCUGAGAUGGCAGAACCCCACUCCGAGGCAAGACUGGAGAGGCAGGUGGCACAUCCUUGUCAACAUUUUCUUUUCUAAACUUCUAUUUUCUGGGGCUGCAAAAUGCUCUGUUCUGGGACCUCCUAACACUUUGGGAGAAAUAAUGCAGCCUCACACAUUUUUAAAUUAACAAAAUUUCCGUUGCAAUUUUAGAUAAUUAAAAGAGAUAUAAACUUUGGCACACUGACUUACUCAAUUAACUAUAUUGAAAACCCACUUUCAUCUAUUCAAAAAACAUACAAAUGGGAUUUGUUUUAACAGCCAAAAAAGUUUCCAUCAUUUUUUCUUCUUGAAUUUACAUUCCAAUUUUAUAUUGCCACAGAAUUUUAUGUUAAUAUAAAGGCUUUUCAGAUUGAUAAUCUUUUACUGAUCAUUACAUCACAAUGCUGGGCAAUAAAAUAUAUGCUUUGAUUAUAAUUUUACAUAUUUUAAUUUUACUAGAUUUGAUAUUUUUAUUAUUAAUAAUAAUACAAAAUUGAAGAAGUUAAAAUUUCCCAUCACCAUAAGAACCUAAAUGUUAAUAAGAGCCUAAAUGUUCUGGAUGAUUCAUCAUUAAAAUUAAUAUAUGUAUAACUGAAUAAAGUAAAAUUAUAAAAAUUUUAGCUCAUCAUUAAACAUAGAAAAGGAAACCAUCCUUCUUUAAAAGAUUAGUUGAUGUAUCAUGAAUGCAUAUUUCUUACUCCUGAAAUAGAGUAACUUUGGGCAAGAGGUUACUGGAGCUUAGCCCCAAGACCUCAAGCAUGCUAGGCAAAUGCUCUAACCCUGGGCUACAUCUCCAACUCUUUCUAUGUUAUUUUGAGACAGAAUCUCACUAAAUCAUCCUGACUGGCCUCCAACUUGUGGUCCUCUUGUCUUAGCUUCUUGAAUAUCUGGGAUUACAGGCAUGCACCACUGUGCCUGGUUUAGGAUAAGACAAUGUUUUGUGAAAAUUACCAGCAAAGCUAUUGGGCUAGUAAGUCUAUAGAAACAUUGAAGUGAACAGAUAGUACCUAAAUUUUAAAAUGACUAUAGAUUAACAACAUAGAAUAAUCACUUGGCAAAAAUUCAAAGAGAUAUUUCCCAAGGGAGUUUGAUUAAAUGCUUAAGAAAAUACUCCCAAUUUGAAACUACAGUCUUAAUCUUUAACCUCUUCCUAUUUGAAAGCAGUGCCAAAUAUGUAUUUGAAACCUGGACAGCGAUAUUUCAAGUUGACCAUUUGUUCAGGAUUCUGGAGAGUUUUUCUCUGGGACACUUUCAUUCUGAAAUCUGUCAGACUCAUUUUAAAACAAAAGAUGGAGAAUGAAAAGGAACAUGAUACCCAGGAUAUGUCCACAGGGUGUUUGAUUUUUAAAAAGCACAUUUGGAAACUAAGAUCUGAGGAAUUUAUCUUCAAAUUGCCAAUGGCAUUGUACUCCUGAUAAAACUUGGUAGAUUAAAAAAGCAGAUUGUCUGGGUACUAUCUCUCUAUGUGUCUUUUUGGUAUUCACUCCAAUAUCUGUUUCCUUCAAGCUCAAGAUCUAAAGCCCAUCUCAACAAGCCAAGCAGAAUGACCUCCCUCCAAAUCCUCCUUUCUUCUCCUUCCUUUCUCUCCACUCUCAAUCUUCCAGGUCAAUGCUCCUUCUCAGGGAGCUCAUUCCUGGAUUUCAGAUUGGUGCAUAAGAUGUGCGUGCUAUGGCCCAAGCCUGUCUGGAAAGGUAAUUUACAAAUGAGAAGAAGGCAACUUCUAAAGGCCUUCCUCUUGGUUAUGAAGUAGGUGAGACUUCCCCUAUUCACUUUGCUCCAGCAUGCUUCCUCCUUUUUCUUUUUUUUCACCUCAAAUCUUUUUAGUAUCUCAAGAUCACUAUGUACAAUCAGCUGUAAAUGUUUGAACUACCAACCAGAAAAGACUCCCAAUGCAAUUUCAUUUUUCUGGGCAAAGUUAACCUGGAUCCAUAAAUCUGAAGACUCUUCCAGAGCCCAGUUUCUAGAAGGAGAGCGAGAGAAGAACAAAAACAGAGUUUCCCAGGAGUGGUCACGAUCAUGCUACACGUAUCAGUAAGUGAGCAGCUUAGGUAUUAGAACUAAGAAAUCCUGCUGGUGUUCAGCUGCACCUCCUGCAUUCACUUCUCAAAUGUUCCUACUACUUAAGGUAUUCGCAGAGCAGAGCAGAACAGAGCAGUACUAUAUUUUAAAAGGGAGAAAGAGAAAGGUCUUCCGCUCUACUUCCCAUGAUAAAGGGGACCACCUUACACAGUAUCUCUAGGCAAGAUACCAUUUCCCUCACAUUUUCCUACUUUUCUGUCCAAACUUCUCUCUUCCCAUUUCCUCACACUGUAUCUUCUUCCCUUCCCAGCUUGGGUAUUUUUAGGUUAAGGGACCUCUGCCAUGGGCAAGACGAGAAGACAGACACUCAAGACUGUGGAUCCCCUGAGGUUGCUUUGGCUCAGGCAUCUGGGAAUUCUUCCUUCCUCAAGUCUCAGCCUGAUAGUUCGAGAAGUGUCAAGAACUUUCUGGAAGUGGAAUCAAUGGACCUAUGUGAUCUGUGAUGAGUGAGCUGUUAAAUAAUUCCAUGCUAUAAAAGAAUGUAUUCAUUGAUAAUUGAAUCAAGUUGUAGUUUAUAGCCAGCUUAAUAAGGCAAUUAACUAUAUUAUAGCAUAUUAUGCUUAACAGAAUCUUUAAUGACUUGUAUGGACUAACAAGACAUGCACUGAGUGUGAUGUCAGUAUUACUGUGCUCAUUUUACACAUGAAAAAUAAGCAAUUUGCCCAAAAUAACAGUCUGCCAAUUGAAAAGUGUUUACAGUUUGGAUCAAGAAUGGCCCUAAAACUCAUACAAUCAGAGGAGGAGUUUGGGGAAGGUAAUUGGAUAAUUAGGGUUGUAGCUAACUUGCUGUUAGGAGGUGGGGCCUGGUUAGAGGUCAUCAAGGGUGUGACAGGAAAAUGUACAUCUUCCUUCUCUUUCUACUUCCUGGCAGCCAUUAUGCGAGCAGCUUUUCAUCUACCAUGCCUUCCUGCCGCCAGGCGAUUUUUUGCACUGAAAUCAGUUGACUAUGGCCUGAAACCUCUAAAAAUCUUGAGCCCAAGUAAACCUCUCCUCCACUAAGACAAAAGGUGACCCUAGGGCAAAGUCCAGGAGUCCUUUGACCCAUUCAAGUUGAGUGUGCUUUAUCAAUCCAAGGUAAGCUUCCUUCUACUGAAGGAGUUUCUUCUUUCUGACAGUUGAAGGAACACUGAAAUGUUACAUAAUAACUUUUAUAUCUGUAUUUGUUACCUGUGAGGCUAAACAUUCUUUAGGAGCAGAAUCCUGUCCAAGUUUGAUUCAUCUUUAGAUCCGCCACAGUAUCUUUGUGCUUUGUAAGUAGCAGUCAAUUAGUGUAUAUUACUCAUUUGUGAAUAGUGAGCAGUAUACCCUUUUAUAAAUGUCAUUAUGAUACUUUGAUCACUGACCAUCAUUCCCACCACUCUACAUACUUCUGUGUUCUGAUAUACAAUUUCAAGCCACAUCUAACAGCUUUCAGGAAUAUACUCUGAUAACUCUGGGUUACCUAUAAAGCAAAUCUGAGGAUAUCAAAAGAAAUAACAAAACAAAAAAUAAAAAUCAUGUCAUAUUA